GACGAACGCUGGCGGUGUGCCUCACACAUGCAAGUCGAACGGGGUAGCAAUACCCAGUGGCGGACGGGUGAGUAACACGUGGGAAUCUGCCUUUAGAUGGGGGAUAGCAGGCCGAAAGGCCUAUUAAUACCGCAUAUGCCGAGAGGUGAAAGUAGCAAUACGUCUGAAGAUGAGCCCGCGCCCGAUUAGCUAGUUGGUAAGGUAAAGGCUUACCAAGGCUUUGAUCGGUAGCUGGUCUGAGAGGAUGAUCAGCCACAAUGGAACUGAGACACGGUCCAUACUCCACCGGGAGGCAGCAGUGGGGAAUUUUACAAAAUGGGCGAAAGCCUGAUGUAGCGACACCGCGUGAGCGAAGAAGCCUUUUGGGGUGUAAAGCUCUGUCAGCAGGGACGAAAAAAAUGACGGUACCUGCAGAGGAAGCAUCGGCUAACUACGUGCCAGCAGCCGCCGUAA
rnacentral:rRNA from 1 species